rnacentral:rRNA from 1 species
GAGUUUGAUCCUGGCUCAGGAUGAACGCUAGCGGCAGGCUUAACACAUGCAAGUCGAGGGGCAGCGCGGGUAGCAAUAUCGUGGCGGCGACCGGCGAAAGGGUGAGUAACGCGUGAGCAACAUGCCCGAUACUGGGGGAUAGUCGAUGGAAACGUCGCGUAAUACCCCGUAACACAGGAGGUCGCAUGACCUUCUGUUGAAAGAUUCAUUGGUAUCGGAUUGGCUCGCGUACCAUUAGCUAGUUGGCGGGGUAACGGCCCACCAAGGCGACGAUGGUUAGGGGUUCUGAGAGGAAGGUCCCCACAUUGGAACUGAGACACGGUCCAGACUCCUACGGGAGGCAGCAGUGAGGAAUAUUGGUCAAUGGCCGAGAGGCUGAACCAGCCAUGCCGCGUGCGGGAGGACGGCCCUAUGGGUUGUAAACCGCUUUUUGAGGGAGCAAUAAGGCGUACGUGUACGCUGAUGAGAGUACCUUGAGAAUAAGCAUCGGCUAACUCCGUGCC